UGUGACCUCAGAGAAGGAGGAGGUAACUGCUUCCAGGUGUGGCAGUUUCUUAGUUAAGGCAGGUACUGGGCGCAUACUUAAACAGGUGGGGGAGGGCAUCUCUGCAUGGAGCCCUCCCAGGGGUGGACCUUACAGGUGUGUGGGCCAGAUAACCUGCACAGCUACAAAGGAGAAGAGUCAGAGGGAAAAAGCACAGUUAGAGGUUGCACAUUAAACUGGGUCAUAUCAGAUAGACUGGAUUUUAAUCUGUUGGUGACAGGAAGUCAGUGGAUGUUUGUGGAGUGAUUAUGACUUAUUUUAGACUUAUACAUAGCCUUGGUGUAUCAUUUCCCAUUGCCACUGUAAUGUAAUGUCCAUAGGUUUGAUGGCUUAAAAGUCAGUAUCACGGGUCAAAACAAAAGUGUUGACAGGACUACACUCUGAUCUACGGAAGACAGUCUCUUUUGCCUCUUUCAGCUCUGGUGGCUGUCAGUUUUCCUGGACAUGUGGCCACAUCACUCCAAUCUUUACUGCCAUCUUCAUACCAACUCUUAUCUAAUCUUUUUCUAUCUCUCUAAGGAUACUUGUUAUGAUUUAGACACAAAAUGGAUAACUUGCAGUCAUCUCUGUAAAAUCUUUAAAUCUGCAAUACUCUCACUUAGCAAAUAAAGUUAAUGCAAGUUCCAGAGAUUAGAACAUGAACCUCUGUCUGGGGCACAGUUUGCCAGCAUACCUAUUGACACCCAAUUGUGAAGUAUCUUGGAAUUUCACUUGCUCAAACACUGGAGGCUGGAGCAUAUGCCCUGAAUUAUUGCUAGUAGUUAGGGAUGCAAAACUGGAAUUUUGGCUGAGGGAAACAAUGAAAAAAUCAAUUAUAUAAACAUAUGCAAAAAUUUAGCUAGGCUUCUGGGACCCCUGAGCAAAGGUCAGAAGGAUACUGUCCACUAAAUUGAUAGAGAAUAGAAACAUUUCAUUUUCCAGGACAUUGCUAGUAUUCAGAGCAUUUGCUAUCUUUCAUCUAGGAUCCUAGGAUCUCAAAUCAAUCUUUCCUAAAAUACAAGUAUUUUAUUAGAACAUGAACACAACUAGGGGGCCAUGCCCCCUUUUCUUUGAACAUCUAAUUUUUAAUAUAAAGCAAUCAUAUUAUAAGAUUCUACAAUGGUUACAAAAAGGAUGAAACUUCCUAAGACACUAAUCUGACAUUAUUCUUCAUAAUUAUCUAUUGGCUCCCGACCGCCUAAGAUAUAAUUGAAAUUCUUCAGGAAAUAUUAUAACAAGAGUUAAUAACAAGCUGUUCAUAAAUGGCAUCUUGGUUUUAUCUUUUGUCACUAUCCCUUAGCGUCUAUAAUAAUAGUCUUGGCCCUAGUUCAGCCUGAAACCUUUUAUGAUUGCUGUGAAAACUUCCUUCUACCUUUGCAUAUAUUUUUGCUACCUCAUAGAGAAUAUUCUCCCUCUCAUCUGUCUGGAGACCUCUUACUGAUCUUUUAAUACAGUCCUCAAAUGUUAUUUCGAGAUGCCUUCUCCAACUUUCCCACUUAAAUGCUUCCCCUCUGGAUUGCUUUAAUCAGAGUACUGAUUCACUUACUUGACCAACCAGUACUUAUUGAGCCCCUAAAAGAACCUCCUCCUCCCACCUGACACACAUUGAAUAGUUACAAUUCUAGUUGUGGCAGAUCAAUAAGUAAAUGCUUAUUAUGUGAAAGGUGCCAUUGGAGAGGGGAGCAGAAGGUAAGAAAAUAGAAAAUGACUGUUAAGAAUUUCUCUGAACAGACAAAUGAAGGAAAUAAGAGUUCUAA